UGUUCAGCAACUUCUAGCCCUACUUCCUCGUGGUAUUGGCCGGGGUACGAGUAACCUUGGGGAAGAUCGGGUAACCAACCCCCGGUGGGAACUUUGGUCGUAUGCUGACAGGGUAGG
rfam:Aedes aegypti strain Liverpool supercont1.324 genomic scaffold, whole genome shotgun sequence.